AUUGAACGCUGGCGGCAGGCCUAACACAUGCAAGUCGAACGAGUGGCGGACGGGUGAGUAAUGUCUGGGAAACUGCCCGAUGGAGGGGGAUAACUACUGGAAACGGUAGCUAAUACCGCAUACCAUCGGAUGUGCCCAGAUGGGAUUAGCUAGUAGGUGGGGUAACGGCUCACCUAGGCGACGAUCACUCGCUGGUCUGAGAGGAUGACCAGCCACACUGGAACGGAGACACGGCCCAGACGCCUACGGGAGGCAGCAGUGGGGAAUAUUGCACAAUGGGCGCAAGCCUGAUGCAGCCAUGCCGCGUGUAUGAAGAAGGCCUUCGGGUUGUAAAGUACUUUCAGCGGGGAGGCGUUACUCGCAGAAGAAGCACCGGCUAACUCCGUGCCAGCAGCCGCGGUAAUUC
rnacentral:rRNA from 1 species